UACAGAGGUCUCAAGCGUUGUUCGGAAUUACUGGGCGUAAAGGGCUCGUAGGCGGCCAACUAAGUCAUACGUGAAAUCCCUCAGCUUAACUGGGGAACUGCGUGUGAUACUGGAUGGCUUGGAUUUGGGAGAGGGAUGCGGAAUUCCAGGUGUAGCGGUGAAAUGCGUAGAUAUCUGGAGGAACACCGGUGGCGAAGGCGGCAUCCUGGACCAAUAUUGACGCUGAGGAGCGAAAGCCAGGGGAGCAAACGGG
rnacentral:rRNA from 1 species